UACGAAGGGGACUAGCGUUGUUCGGAAUUACUGGGCGUAAAGCGCACGUAGGCGGAUUUGUUAGUCAGGGGUGAAAUCCCGGGGCUCAACCUCGGAACUGCCUUUGAUACUGCAAGUCUCGAGUCCGAUAGAGGUGGGUGGAAUUCCUAGUGUAGAGGUGAAAUUCGUAGAUAUUAGGAAGAACACCGGUGGCGAAGGCGGCCCACUGGAUCGGUACUGGACGCUGAGGUGCGAAAGCGUGGGGGAGCAAACAGG
rnacentral:rRNA from 1 species